UACAGAGGGGGCAAGCGUUGUUCGGAAUUACUGGGCGUAAAGGGCGCGUAGGCGGCCCGCUAAGUCGAACGUGAAAUCCCCGAGCUCAACUCGGGAACUGCGUCCGAUACUGGCGGGCUUGAAUCCGGGAGAGGGAUGCGGAAUUCCAGGUGUAGCGGUGAAAUGCGUAGAUAUCAGGAGGAACACCAAUGGCGAAGGCAGCUCGCUGGGACGUGACUGACGCUGAGACGCGAAAGCGUGGGGAGCAAACAGG
rnacentral:rRNA from 1 species